rnacentral:rRNA from 1 species
UACGUAGGGGGGCAAGCGUUGUCCGGAAUCAUUGGGCGUAAAGAGCGUGUAGGCGGCUCGAUAAGUCUGCUGUGAAAGUCCAGGGCUCAACCCUGGAAGGCCGGUGGAAACUGUCGGGCUAGAGUCCGGAAGAGGCGAGUGGAAUUCCCGGUGUAGCGGUGAAAUGCGCAGAUAUCGGGAGGAACACCAAUGGCGAAGGCAGCUCGCUGGGACGGUACUGACGCUGAGGCGCGAAAGCGUGGGGAGCAAACAGG